ACGAGUGGCGCACGGGUGCGUAACGCGUAUACAAUCUGCCUUUAAGCGGGGAAUAGCCCAUGGAAACGUGGAUUAAUACCCCAUAGUAUGGAGACUUCACCUGGAGACUUCAUUAAACAUUUAUGGCUUAAAGAUGAGUAUGCGUCCUAUUAGUUAGUUGGUAAGGUAACGGCUUACCAAGACGGCGAUAGGUAGGGGUCCUGAGAGGGAGAUCCCCCACACUGGUACUGAGACACGGACCAGACUCCUACGGGAGGCAGCAGUGAGGAAUAUUGGACAAUGGAGGCAACUCUGAUCCAGCCAUGCCGCGUGCAGGAAGACGGCCCUAUGGGUUGUAAACUGCUUUUAUACGGGAAGAACCACAUCUACGUGUAGAUGCUUGACGGUACCGUAUGAAUAAGGACCGGCUAACUCCGUGCCAGCAGCCGCGGUAAUACGGAGGGUCCAAGCGUUAUCCGGAAUCAUUGGGUUUAAAGGGUCCGUAGGCGGGAUAAUAAGUCAGUGGUGAAAGUCUGCAGCUCAACUGUAGAAUUGCCAUUGAUACUGUUGUUCUUGAAUUAUUAUGAAGUGGUUGGAAUGAGUAGUGUAGCGGUGAAAUGCAUAGAUAUUACUCAGAACACCUAUUGCGAAGGCAGAUCACUAAUAAUAUAUUGACGCUGAGGGACGAAAGCGUAGGUAGCGAACAGGAUUAGAUACCCUGGUAGUCUACGCCGUAAACGAUGGUUACUAGCUGUUCGGCUCGAUUGAGAGCUGAGUGGUUAAGCGAAAGUGAUAAGUAACCCACCUGGGGAGUACGUUCGCAAGAAUGAAACUCAAAGGAAUUGACGGGGGCCCGCACAAGCGGUGGAGCAUGUGGUUUAAUUC
rnacentral:rRNA from 1 species